rnacentral:lncRNA from 1 species
UUGUCCCUCCAUGUAGUGGAUGAAUCAGGCCGAUUCGUGGAUGCUCUGACCAAGGUGAUCGACAUGUUUGAGAUUGAAUCGAGCUGGCUUCGCAAGCAAAUCAUUCCCAACUUGGAUACAUACCUCUGGCUGAGAGAGAUCACAUCUGGUGUGGCUCCUUGCUUUGCUCUGAUUGAUGGUUUGCUGCAACUUAGGCUGGAGGAGCGUGGCGUGCUGGAUCAUCCUCUCAUACGCAAGGUUGAGGAGAUUGGGACGCACCACAUUGCGCUCCACAAUGACAUGAUCUCGUUCAGGAAGGAGUGGGCGAAAGGAUACUACCUCAACGCCGUGCCCAUUCUCGCCAGCAAUUGUAAGUGUGGCUUGAACGAGGCAAUUGGCAAGGUUGCGAGCAUGGUGGAGGAUUUGGAGAAGGAUUUCGCCCAGACAAAGCAUGAGAUCGUUUCAAGUGGGCUUGCCAUGAAGCAAGGAGUCAUGGACUAUGUGGACGGGAUAGAGGUGUGGAUGGCCGGAAGCGUAGAAUGGGCAUGGACGAGCGCUAGAUACCAUGGAAUUGGGUGGAUCCCUCCUCCAGAAAAAUCAGCGACCUUCCAACUCUAGAUUGUUGCUCAAAUAGUAAAUAAUAAUUUCUCUCAUGGAGUGUUUUAGAAAUUCAUAUCUAAGCAGUGUUUUCGUCCUGAACAAGCAAAUUGAAAUGCACGGUAGAUGUGGUAACAUCAAGCACGCAGCUCAGAUCUUCCAUGCUAUGGCCAAGAGGGACAAGUUCAGCUGGGAUCUUUUGCUGGUUGCCUACUGCAAAAACGGGCACUUUGAUGAAGCGCGAAGGUUCUUCAGCUGCAUGCCGUGCUGGAGCCUUGUGUCAUUUACUACUAUGAUUUCUGUUGCCUCCCAGAGAGGCCAAAUGCAAGAAAUACAAUCCGUUACAAACUUGAUGCCAGAGCACGAUCUUUUCUCUGUAAACGCGGUGCUUUUUGCAUUUGCCGAAAAUGGGCAUCUUGAUUUUGCCAAGGUAGUCUUUAGCAAAAUGCCUGCUCGCAACUUGGUGUCGUGGACGACGAUGCUGGGGGCUUUAUCUCAGCUCGCGGAUGUGGAAAGCACUUUUGAAGAGAUGCCGGAGCACGAUGUCGUCUCGUGCACUUGCGCAAUUGCAGCAUUCUCCCGUCACGGGCAUCUGGAGUCUUCUCUGGAGCUCUUCCACGCCAUGCGUGUGAGGAAUCUCUCGACUUGCACGGCAAUCCUCUCCGGCUACGUCCACUGCGGCCUCCUGAAAGAGUCUGAGCGCUUCUUUCACGAUCAGAUGCCACAGCACGAUCUUGUCUCCGUCACAACGCUGCUCGUCGCCUACACCCAAAGCCAACGCCUUGAGGAAGCCAGCUGCCUCUUUGAUUCUCUUCCGUACGUAGAUGCCGUGUGUUGGAACGCCAUAGCCACGGGAUUUUCCCAGUGCGGCCUCCUGGACGAAACCACGAAAAUCCUCGACAAAAUGCCGGCAUGGAAUCUUGCAACCUGGAACACGCUGCUAACAUCACACUCCUUGCAAGGGAAUCUUACCGGGGCUAUAAGAGUCUUUCACGAAAUGCCAGACAAGAACUUGGUGUCGUGGAACGCCAUGCUCUCGGCAUAUGCCCAAAACGGGCAUCUUUCUCUUGCAAGGAAGGUGUUCCAAACGAUGCCCUUGCGCAGCGUUGAAUCCUUCAGUGCAAUGCUGACCGCAUAUGCCCAAGCCGGCAGCCCCAGCGACGUGUUUGAUUCCUUCGAAGAGAUGAAGCUAGUGGAGAUGCCCGACGAUUCCUGCUUCACUUUGGUGCUGAUUGCGAGCAGUCAAGUUGGCGAGCCCAAAGUCGGCGGCUCCUACUUCAGCUCCAUGCGUCUGGAUUACGGGGUGGUGGCGAGGAAGCAACACUACUGCUGCAUCGUGGACAUGCUGGGGCGAGCGGGAUACCUGGAUGCGGCGGAAGAGCUUGCGCAAACCAUGCCUUUUCUUCCCAACUCGUGGGACUGGACGUCCAUGCUAAGUUCUUCCAGACGCGAUAGAAUCUGGAAAAACGGUGCUCGAGUGACGAAACGAGCUUUGCUUUCGGGCCCCAGCGAUGGAGCUGCUCUUGUGCUGCUCGCAAACUCACGCUCCUCUUGAUUCUUACUACUUUUCCGAAACUUUACCUUUAUAGAAUGGGUUAUCGAAUUUGGGCUCAUAAUGGAGCAAGAAGCUCAAUCGUUCUUCGAUUCGGCCCCGCCUCUCCGAUGGACGAUGUGGUCGCGAGCGUGAAUCGCUUCUUGGAUAUCUGGAAGGCGGCAUCGGCCAUCGGCCAAGGUUUAUCCUUACUAGCAUUUCUCAUAUUUUGGAGCCGAAUCGCGUGAUUCUAGAGGAGGCGCAUUGCCGUUGUUACAUCCGGGGGCACGACCGUGCCCUUGGAGCGACGAUGCGUUAGGGUCAUUGACAAUUUCAGCUCGGGGAGUCGAUCGGGAGUCGAUGAGCAGCCUCCACAGAGUGCGUUAUUCUUUUCUACUCAUUCUUCUUUUAUGAUUUUUCUUUUUUUUUUUUUUUUUGCAAGGUACUUUUGGCUGCAUGCAAGAAUGUCUCGAGCCUGUGGAUGGAUCAAUCCGGGGUAAGUGAAAUCUGCCAUUUAUUUCUUCGAGAGUUUAACUCCUGCUUCGCAGUACGAGAAAAAUGGUUUGAUGUUGUGACUCGGGCAGUCACAGGACAUCAUUCUGUAAGCUCAGUUCUUGUUUCUCUUUUUGAGUUCUUAAGAAUCAAAACAGGCGGUGCUCCAGAAGAAGCUGUUGAAGCUCGAGUUCACUACGCUCUUCGAGUACCUCCAAGUAAGAAAUGUGCCGCGCAAACACUGGUUUCUAUGACGGUUUUUCGUGGCAGAUUUUAGAGAUUGUUGGAGCUGCCAUGAAACCAGUUGGCAGGCAUGCUAUGUUUUACUUUGCAGCGGCUGUCUCUGACUUCUACAUCCCUUGGAACUCCAUGGUAAGAACUUCUCGUCUUCUCUUGUUUUGUUUUCGGUGGAAAUCUCAAAAAUAAUCUUCUCUAAGAUCCUGUCAAAACUAUCUCACCGAAAAAUUAAAUGUUUAAAGUGUCAGAUAUAUUUAGGUUAAAUAUAUUCAGGGAAGAAGCUCAAAGCAAUCAUUUCCUUAAAUGAACGAAACCAUUUUUAGGGUUGGCAGUCCAGGAGGAGCGUGGGGUUUUGAUAAAUUUAUAUGGAAUAAUAUACUCUAGGAAAACUAGUGUUGAUUAUACUUAUAUAGUGGGUGAUAAUAUAAGAAUUAGAGAGUCUAAAGUUAGAGUAAAUAUUGAUGGAUAAAUAGAGUAAAUUAGUGAAGUAUUUAAGAGCUAACUUUAAUUCUAACCUGUCAGAAAGAUUUACUUAUAAGCUUUUUCUAAAUUCCUUGUAUGUGAGUUUUAAUCCAAGAUCAAACAAUAUAUAAAGCUUUUCACUUGGGUUCUUUUAUUUAGAGUGUAAAAAAAGUUUAAAGCAUUCUUAUGCAUUUCUAAGUAAUGCAGAUAAAUCUUAGAUAAAGCUUUUCAAUGAACUCUAAAACAAAAUUUUAGGAAUUAGCAGUUACAAAAUCUUUAUAUUUUUUUAUUCAGAUAUGUGUUUGUUAGUUUUAAUGAGUGUUUUGAGAGUAUUUGAGUGAGAUUUUUAAAUUUACUUUUUUACAAGAUUGUUAUAAAUGUUUUUAGAGUUUGGUUUCAUGAUUUUUAGAGUAGUGUACAAAAAGUUUAAAAGUUUUUUUUAAAUCUUUUUGUUAGUUUAUGCUUAUAAGGAAUUUUUAAAAGUUUGAGAGAUUUUUCUUAUAUAUUUAUCCCUUGUAUCAUCUUAUCGUUUAGUUUAGUGCCCUUGAGUAUAUAUAGCUAUUUGAUGUCUCAUGUAUAAUCAUCUCUUUUGAUUGAGAAACUUUUACUUGAAUGGAGAACAACAUCUAAUAUAUAGUAAGUGUAUAAGAGGUUAUAAAGUGUUAUAAAAAGUGAUUUUAAAAUCCUUGAGUGUUUAGCAAGCAUAAAACCUUGUGAUUGAGCUCUCCAAGCUCUAGACUAACAUCAUAGUAUAUACAUAGUUUUUGUAUUUGGCGCAUUUUAGAAGUUUAAUGUCUAUUCAUAUGCAUUAGUCAAGUGUUGUUGCUAUAUAAACUCCUCUUUGGACACAUAUAACUUAAAGGAAUUCUUAAGGUUUAUAUGCUAGUAAUUAUUAGACAAUGUUGUUGGUAAAUGAGUCUUCAUCAUUUAUAAUAGAUUCCAAAGAAGAGCACAAUUAAAACAUUACACCAAUGGUGGCAACUAUUCAUAUCCUUUAUAGGGCAAUGGACUUCCCAAAGUUCUAUCUUGGAUCAAGUAUUUUGGCUUACAAUCAUAUUAAUCAAUUUCAAACUUACUUAAGAUACAACAAAAUCACCAAAGAUGCUUUGUCCCAAGAAUUAUUCUUGAGAUCCUUAAAAACAAUAGUAGUAGAUUGGGCAUCUUUCUUGCUUCCAAAUGAAUGAUGGUCAUUGUCUACAAUGAUUGACAAAUUUCUCAAACAAUUUAGAAUGGAGAAAACUAACUAACAACUCUACAUAAACUGUUUUAAGUUUGGCAAAUGCUGCAAAAGAAUAUCAAUAACUACACUAUCCAAUUUAAAAAGUAUUAGUGUGCAUGUUUGCUAUAGACAGAUGAGAAGCCCAUGGUGUCAGCAUUCAUCCAAAACUCAAGCUUGAAGUGCAACACAAAGUCCUCAAGUGCCAACAUGAAACUUGCAAACUAACAUUUAGCUAUGCAUUAAAGGACAUGCUCUUUGAGCUUGGCAUGCACCAUGACAUCCACUCUUAACCAGGCUUCCAGGCCCAAAUGUGUGCCAUUCCCAAUCUACCACAUGUUGUUAAAGACAAGAUGCCCACAGUGAUUGAGUUGGUGCUUAAUGAGCUUAAAGAGCAUUGAGCAUUUGUGCAACAGUAGACUCAAUAGCAAGAGAAGCUUGUGGAGGAGCUACAAUCUCUUAGGAUGUAGACUGAAACUCGGUGGCAUCAUUACUGGUGCAAGAAAUAUAACGUUGAUACACACAACAUUGCAAGAUGUUGGAACUCCAUCUAGAACUUUGGCUUUAGUGACCACAGUGAGUCCAAUGACAACCACUUGCAAACAACACAACCCUAGCUUCGUCCUCCAUAGAUUAUCAUGAGAAUGACAGUCUGGGGCAUUGAGCCAAACAUGGUGACUUACAACAGCUUGAUCCAUGGCUUAUGCAUGACCAACGGGGUAGACUCCACACUUUUGCUGAUGGAAGAGAUGACAGCAACAGGGUGCCUUCCGGAUAUCAACACCUACAACACACUUAUUGAUGGCCUUUGCAAGACAGGAAGGGUGCCAGAAGCGAACAGGCUGUUUGGAGAAAUGAAGGCCAAGUUUUGCAACCCAGAUGUUAUCACGUACAGCUGCUUGAUUGGUGGGUUUUGUAAGCUAGAUAGGAUCAACAUGGCUUGCACGUUGUUCGAUGACAUGCUCAAGCAGGCAGCCCUCCCCGACGUCGUCACAUUCCCGACACUAGUGGAAGGAUACUGUAAUGCUGGACUGGUGGAUGACGCCGAGAGGCUUCUGGAAGAGAUGGUUGCUAGUGACUGCUCUCCAGACGUGUAUACGUACACAAGCCUGGUCGACGACUUCUGCAAAGUCAAAAGAAUGGUGGAGGCGCACAGAGUUCUCAAGCGAAUGGCCAAGGGGGGGUGUACAGGAGCUUGACCGGUGGCUUCUGUGGGACUGGGGACCUGGAAGAGGCUCACAAGAUGCUCGAGAGACUGGAGCACAACGAGAACCGUUGGAAAAUGGAUCUGCCAAUCCAUGCCUACCACAGGCCAUCCAACCAUAGCUCCGAUACCAUAUUGGAAAAUAUGGUCUACUAGACAGGCCAGGGAUUAAACCCAAGACCUCCUACACUAGUGCCAGGUGCUCUACCACUGAGCUACCUGCCCUGGUUGUGUGCAUGUUCAGCUUAGUUCUAACAAGAACUGCAAGGCAGAUAUGUUCGCGUACCGGAUGAUGAUGGACGGGCUGUGUAGAACCGGGAGAAUGAGCGCAGCUCUGGAGCUUCUCGAGGCCAUCAAGCAGAGUGGCACGCCUCCUCGCCACGAUAUCUAUGUGGCGUUGAUCAGGGGGCUGUGCCAGGGGAAAGAGCUCCGCAAAGCCAUGGAAGUUUUGGAAGAGAUGACGCUCUCAAGGAAAGGCAGGCCAAAUGCCAAGGCUUACAAGGCGGUGAUCCAGGAGCUAGCGAGAGAAGGGAGACACGAAAAGGCAAAUGCACUCUCAGACGAAUUACUUGGUAACAAAGGCCAGUAAAACGAGAUUUGUAAUCACAAAUCCGGAACAUUGUGUGAACACUAUCUGGGAUGUUUCCUAAGGUUUUUCGCAGAAAUCAGCAACCAUUCAACUAUUUAGUUUGAAUUUGCUUCUAAUUUUAUCUAUAAAAGCCCUCUUUCAGUGUUUAAAAUUCACUUAGGAACUCUUCUUUCAUGGCUCUUCCAUCCAUUGCGAGGAUUUUCGCAGCAGAGAAAAGCUAUUCCAUUCCACCAGUGUGUAAACUCCUUGCCUCUCCAGUGUUGAAUCCGCUGUACGAUGCAAAGGCCGACGCUCAGAUCGAUGCGUGGUGCGCGGAGUUUCUGAAGUUGCAACCUGGAAGCGAGAAAGCUGUGUUUGUUCAAGAAAGCAGGCUUGGAUUGCUCGCGGCUUAUGUUUACCCCAGCAUUCCAUACGAGAAGAUUGUUCCGGUUGCAAAGUUCUUCGCUUGGUUCUUUCUUGCAGAUGACAUUCUGGAUAGCCCGGAGAUCUCCUCGUCAGACAUGAGAUAUGUGGCAACUGCAUACAAGAUGGUUUUCAAGGGAAGAUUUGACGAGGCCACGCUUCCAGUGAAAAAUCCGGAGCUGCUGAGGCAAAUGAAGAUGUUAGCUGAGGUUUUGGAAGAACUGUCCCUCCAUAUAGUGGAUGAAUCAGGCCGAUUCGUGGAUGCUAUGACCAAGGUGCUCGACAUGUUUGAGAUUGAAUCGAGCUGGCUUCGCAAGCAAAUCCUUCCCAACCUGGAUACGUACCUCUGGCUGAGAGAGAUCACAUCUGGUGUGGCUCCUUGCUUUGCUCUGAUUGAUGGUUUACUGCAACUUAGGCUGGAGGAGCGUGGCGUGCUGGAUCAUCCUCUCAUACGCAAGGUUGAGGAGAUUGGGACGCACCACAUUGCGCUCCACAAUGACUUGAUCUCGUUCAGGAAGGAGUGGGCGAAAGGAAACUACCUCAACGCCGUGCCCAUUCUCGCCAGCAAUUGUAAGUGUGGCUUGAACGAGGCAAUUGGCAAGGUUGCGAGCAUGGUGGAGGAUUUGGAGAAGGAUUUCGCCCAGACAAAGCAUGAGAUCGUUUCAAGUGGGUUUGCCAUGAAGCAAGGAGUCAUGGACUAUGUGGACGGGAUAGAGGUGUGGAUGGCCGGAAACGUAGAAUGGGGAUGGACGAGCGCUAGAUACCAUGGAAUUGGGUGGAUCCCUCCUGCAGGUAGAAUGGGGAUGGACGAGCGCUAGAUACAAUGGAAUUGGAUGGAUCCUUCCUCCAGAAAAAUCAGCGACCUUCCAACUCUAGAUUGUUGCUCAGUUCUAUCAAAUAAGCAAAUUGAAAUGCACAGUAGAUGUGGUAUCAACAUCAAACACGCAGCUCAGAUCUUCCAUGGUAUGGCCAAGAGGGACAAGUUCAGCUGGGAUCUUUUGCUGGUUGCCUGCUGCAAAAACGGGCACUUUGAUGAAGCGCACUGUGAUGGGCAUCUUGAUUCUGCCAAGGUAGUCUUUAGCAAAAUGCCUGCUCGCAACUUGGUCUCGUGGACGACGAUGCUGGGGGUUUUAUCUCAGCUCGCGGAUGUAGAAAGCACUUUUGAAGAGAUGAUUACGUAUGGAAGAGAAUCAAAGAGGCAGCUGGCUUCCUCAAGGCGUAUAGGCGACGAGCAGCGUUGUGACGGAGACAAGAUCGUGCUGCGGCAUCUGAUCGUGAAAGAAGCGCUCCGACUCUUUCAGGAGGCCGCAGUGGACGUAGCCGGAAAGAAUUGCCGUGCAAGUCGAGAGAUUCCUCACACGCUGGAAGAGCUCCAGAGAAGACUCCAGAUGCCAGUGACGGGAGACACGAUGUCGUCUCGUGCACUUGCGCAAUUGCAGCAUUGCUGUGUGUGGAACGCCAUAGCUACGGGAUUAACCCAAUGCGUCCUCCUGGACGAAACCAUGAAAAUCCUCGACAAAAUACCGGCAUGGAAUCUUGCGACCUGGAACACGCUGCUAACAUCACACUCCUUGCAAGGGAAUCUUACCGGGGCUAGAAGAGUCUUUCACGAAAUGCCAGACAAGAACUUGGAGUCGCGGAACGCCAUGCUCUCGACAUAUGCCCAAAACGGGCAUAUUUCUCUUGCAAGGAAGUGUUCCAAACGAUGCCCUUGCGCAGCGUUGAAUCCUUCAGUGCAAUGCUGACCGCAUAUGCCCAAGCCGGCAGCCCCAGCGACGUGUUUGAUUCCUUCGAAGAGAUGAAGCUAGUGGAGAUGCCCGACGAUUCCUGCUUCACUUUGGUGCUGAUUGCGAGCAGCCAAGUUGGCGAGCCCAAAGUCGGCGGCUCCUACUUCAGCUCCAUGCGUCUGGAUUACGGGGUGGCGGCGAGGAAGCAACACUACUGCUGCAUCGUGGACAUGCUGGGGCGAGCGGGAUACCUGGAUGCGGCGGAAGAGCUUGCGCAAACCAUGCCUUUUCUUCCCAACUCGUGGGACUGGACGUCCAUGCUAAGUUCUUCCAGACGCGAUAGAAUCUGGAAAAACGGUGCUCGAGUGACGAAACGAGCUUUGCUUUCGAGCCGCAUGUUCUUGUGCUGCUCGCAAACUCACGCUCACUACUUUUCCAAAACUCGACCUUUAUAAAACGGGUUAUCGAAUUUAGGGUUCAUCGGUCAUAAUGGAGCAAGAAGCUCAAUCGUUCUUCGAUUCGGCCCCGCCUCUCCGAUGCCGCGACGAUGUGGUCGCGAGCGUGAAUCGCUUCUUGGAUAUCUGGAAGGCGGCAUCGGCCAUCGGCCAGGUUUUAUCCUUAACUAGCAUUUCUCGUAUUUUGGAGCUGAAUCGCGUGAUUCUAGACGAGGCGCAUUGCCAUUGUUACAUCCGGGGGCACGACCGUGCCCUUGGAGCGACGAUGCGUUAGGGUCAUUGACAAUUUCAGCUCGGGGAGUCGAGGAGCAGCCUCCACAGAGUGCGUUAUUCUUUCUACUCAUUCUUCUUUUAUGAUUUUUUCUUUUUUUUUUGUUGCAAGGUACUUCCUUGCAAGUGACUAUGCUGUGAUUUUCCUUCAUCGGAGGCAAGCAGCACUCUUUUUUUCUUUUGCAAAUGGUGAUGCUACUUUCGUGAAAUACUUUUUAGAGGAUCUAUGCAGCCAUUUUGCCGCUCGCUGCCGGAUAAUCCUAUACAAGAAUGUCUCGAGCCUGUGGAUGGAUCAAUCCGGGGUAAGCGAAAUCUGCCUUUUAUUUCUUCGAGAGUUUAACUCCCGCUUCGCAGCACGAGAAAAAUGGUUUGAUGCUGUCACUCGGGCAGUCACAGGACAUCAUUCUGUAAGCUCAGUUCUUGUUUCUCUUCUUGAGUUCUUAAGAAUCAAAACAGGCGGUGCUCCAGAAGAAGCUCUUGAAGCUCGAGUUCACUACGCUCUUUGAGUACCUCCAAGUAAGAAACGUGCCGCGCAAACUCUGGUCUGUAUGACGGUUUUUCGUGGCAGAUUUUAGAGAUUGUUGGAGCUGCCAUGAAACCAGUUGGCAGGCAUGCUAUGUUUUACUUUGCAGCCGCUGUCUCCGACUUCUACGUCCCCUGGAACUCCAUGGUAAGAACUUCUCGUCUGCUCUCGUUUUGUUUUCGGUGGAAAUCUCAAAAAUAAUCUUCUCUAUCCAGAUGGAGCACAAGAUCCAGUCGGAUGACGGCUCGAUGACAAUGCAGCUCGCUCCGGUUCCAAAGAUGCUUGGAUUGUUACGAAAGCAUUGGGCUCCGGAGGCCUUUUGCGUCUCGUUCAAGGUUUUUCAUUUCCUCUUUACUCUUCUUCUCUAUAGCAGCUCAAUCGAGCAAAGUUUUCUCUCGUAUCAGCUGGAAACGGACGUGGACAUACUCCUCAAGAAAGCACGCUCGUCGCUUUGCAAGUAUGGCAUGCACGCGGUGGUCGCCAACGAGCUCGAAACGAGGAAGAACAAGGUCGUGGUUGUGACGAGAAAAGUAGAGAUGGUUUUGGAAAAGGGUGACUGCCCCGACAUAGAGUUGCCGCUGGUGAAUUGUCUGGUCGCCCGGCAGACCAUGUAUCUCCAGCAGCAACAAGCAUGAAUUUGGCAGCAGCACGAGAGCCUCGCGAUGUAGGCCAAGUCCACUCACUCGCGAGUUCUUCCUUGUCUCAAGCACUUCCCAGCUCCCAGGUCUUCCUCUCCAAUCUCCUCAUAUAAAUGUAUGGAAGAUGCGGCCGACGCUCUCUUUGUGUUUGAGGGGUCUUGUUUGAACUCUUGUUCUCGGCAUAUGCCCAAAAACGGACAUCCACAAAGGUCAUGGACGGCCAUGUUGGUAUUAUACGCACGGAAUGGCACCUUGGCGAUGCCAUGGGAACAUGUCGUUCAGAGACACUGUGGCCAACUGUGGCAUAUGCAUCUUGUUAAAGAGCUUAAAAUUUCUAGAGAGAUGCUCAAAGAAUCUUGUAGGGGGCAUCUUGUUGGCGCCAAGUUCAGCGAGAGGGAUGAUGCCCGAGCGAGAUCUUGCGUGGAGCGUGAUCUCGUGUCCUUGGCCAGAGUCUGUGGCAUCUGAUGAGCAGUAGCUGGGCAUAGGCGGACAAGCUGUCCUUGAAAUCCCCUUACAAAUGCUCAGCUAAUUUCUUAUGCCGAGCGGGGCGAUUGGAUCCGCUAAGCUUUCCUUUGAUGCUAUGCCGGGAUCAAGUAUCCUGGAAUGCUAAAAUUUUUGUGCCGGGCAUUUGUCACUGUCGAAACUGAUGCUUGAUAGUGUUCCUUAUCAUAUUGGAAUGCAAUGUUAUCAGCAGCAUCUUCAGUUUUCCGAAUCAGUUUCUUUCAUCAAAUGCCAGACGUGUCUUGGAAUGCAAUGUUUUUCUUCAUGCUUGUUAUUUCCUUCAACACCAUUUAGCUUGGAGGGAAACAAGGUAUCGUUUUUCAAGCAACGGAAACACUAAGGAUACUAUCCCUGACACCCUUUGGUCAGUUGGAUCCAAUCGACUUAGGGUGUGAAGGAUAAAAUCUUAACAGUGGCUCUUUUGGACCAUCUAUUGCUGGACUCACUAUAACGGGGGAAUGUGUUAAUCUUUUUACGUAAAAGCGUUCAUAUGUGUGGAGCUAAAGAAGUUGUACUUGCUAUGUAAACAACUGUGAAGUACUAAUGAGGAAUAAGCCUUUGUUGUUUCAAUGGUUUAGAUUUUUGGUUAUAUAUUUCUUACGGUUUGAAUUACAUCAUAAGAUCUAAAUUUUAACGAAUAAAAUUCACUUUUAUGGCCUGCGAUGGAGGAAAGAGUGCCCAGCAUGGUGAUCAGGAGUUUUCCAUUUACUAGGUUGGUAGCUUGGUGCUUCAAUCAAGCUAGCUUGCCCUAUCGUUCAUAUCUCUCUGUGGCGGAAAACAAGCUAUGGCACCAGUGUAUAUGCUGAGUCCGCUGCUCCAAGCAACCUCUAAACGUCUCAGAUUCUCUGCCAAAUUUUACUCCUUCCUGGUUUUGCUGGCUGCUUAUAGUGCAUUUCAUGCUUUGGCUGGCUGGAUCUAGGACUUUAUUCUCAGCACGCUUGUACUUAGCAGGCUUUUAUUCCAGUGUCAAGCAAGCAUAUGGCUCUAGAGAAUGAAACUCCAGCUAGAAUCAUCCAACUCCAGCUUCAUCCACUGGAUCAGCUUGCUGGUGGCAGCAUUCACGCAGCCCAAGCCAAAUGAUCUGGAUGACGUUUCACGCAUGUUCUGUUAAUCCCAUUGUUUGCUCUUAACAUUCCCCAAAGACAUCAGUGGAUUCAUUGAUUACAAUGAUACGUGAUGUGACUUUAUCUUUCUUUUUUCACAUUUCUGCAAAGCAGUUUCUUCAGUCCAAGGACACCCAUCAGUGAGUGCUCAAUGUUAAACUUUCUUUGCUGCCUCUGACCUUGUGCUUUCAAGGUCCAAGUCAGGAGUCUCCUAAUGAACUCAUUGUGUUUUUUAUUGACUCUCUUGCAGGUUUGUGCCAGCUUGAUCAGAUGCUUGAGCACUAUCAAUUCAAAGUGCCUGCACCUGUAACCUGUUUUUCACCUGACGUUGCUCAAGUGUUUUUAGAUUGAUUAGUGUUUUAUAGACAUCGUAGAUACUCACACAGGCUGUGAGCUGUUGUCUACUAGGUGUGGUGACAAGAUUUGGUGACACUUCCAAGAAAUUUUUGAGACUUAGUUAUGUCUGAUUAAGAUUAAGAAAAUGAUGAAUGCUAUCAAAACAAAUAGGAAGUGUUAAAUUUUAUUUAUAAUGAUAACUAUUUGAUUAAAACAAACUGAAAUAAGAAGAACAGAAAAUCAAUUAAGCUGCACUAAUGCGAAGCUCAAUCAUGUAUUGUGAUUUGACUAAAUUAAAUAUUAAAUCAGAUUAAAAUAAGUUAUAUAAGAAUAAAAAAUGAAGUUUAGAUCAACAUUUGAUUUCUAUCAAACCUCAAAAAUAUUAUUCUGAACAUAGCAAAAUCCUGAUAUUUCACAUAUACUUGCUCCAAUUGAUUUGGGAGCAAUUGAGUUUAUAGUAGUUUUAAGGGAAUUUAAGCAAUUUAUACAACUAUAACUUGGAGGAAAUUGAAAAACCAUAAAUAUUUCCUUUAUGCACACAAUUAGGAUAUAUUCAUGAUAUAUUUUUAUUGAUCAAAAGACUAUAAAUAGUAGGUAAAUUUCUUUCAAAUAGGUGAUACUAUUAUAUCUAACUAUGCAUGGCUCUGGUGCAUCAAAAGGGCAAAAAUUUGAAUGUAAUUCUUGUAUCUUUAGUACUGUUAGAGUUAAAAAAUUUAGAAUUUUUAUUUCUAACUACUGAAAAUAGAAAAGAUAAACUACUAUGUUGAGGAAUGUAUUCAUAAAUAUGAAAGUUGAGGCUAUAUAGUGAUAAUUUUAAUAGUAAAUAAUUAGUUUUUAUCUAUCUGGUGAAGAAAGUAAUGAAAAUUGUAGUUGGCUUGGUUAAAUAACAAUAAAAAUAAGACAUUGUAAUAUAUAUAUAUAUAUAUAUAUAUAUAUAUAUAUAUAUAAAUAUAAAUUAUUGUUAUCUAUAAUUUCAAGGUUUAAUUGGGCUUUUUUUCAGCAGAACUGUAUGUAUUAAAUUAUUAGAGAAAUAUACAAAAGUUUUAAACUAUAGAAGAAAUAAAACUUUACCAUCAUUUCAGUUAUUAAUAAAAUUAUUUGUAAAUCUUUAUCAUUUAUUAUUUAUAUUCAUUUAUCUCUAAAAUUAUUAUAAUUAAUAGAUAUAAAACACCAAUCCUUAAGUCCUAAAAUAGAGCUAAAAGGUGUGCUAUGUAGCAAUGGCUGAGGCAAAAGUUCAAUAAACAUAAAAUAUUUAGACUAAAAGUUUUGACUUGAAAAAUUAAAAAUGAGAGUGAAAAUUUAAAGAAGGCUUGAGGAAAAAAUACUAAAUAAGUAAUGAAUGAGUUUCUAAAAAAGGAUUAAAGAAUGACUAAUGUGUUUUGAUAUAUAAAAGUGUCAAAACUGAAGUGCUAAACUCUAAUACUCAAAAUAGAACAAUAUCAAAACUAUCUCACUUUGACCAAAAAAUAUAAUGUUUAAAGUGUCAGACAUAUAUAGGGCUAAAUAUAUUCAAGCGUAAAUAUAUCUAGGGGUGCCCAAAGCAAUCAUUUUAUAGAUUUUUGGGGCUUUCCCCUGGCACAGCCCCCUGAUCAACGCCACAUAGAUAUUGUGGUGAGGAGGCGUGCCACUCUGCUUGAUGGCCUCGAGAAGCUCCAGAACUGCACUCAUUCUCCCUGUUCUACACAGCCUGUCCAUCAUCACUCGGUACACGAACAUAUCCGCCGAAAAGUACUAGGUUGGAUGACCUUUCAAAAAGUCCAAAUUCAAGAGGUUACAAAAAGCCCAAAGCAAUUGUCUCCUAAACUUUAAGCGUGAAAAGAACUAGAACAAGAACAGUGUGUUUAGGGUUUUGGGGAUUUGGCGCCUUGCCGCUGCGGCGCAUGGCGGCCUUAGUGCUGGCUCAAAAGCUGCAUCAAAAACAUUACCUGACGCGAGAGAUAGCAUGGGUUACCAGUUUGGCACUCACUGCAAGAUGUGGUGGGUGAUGAUAUAACCACUGAAGAGUUCAAGGCUAAAGUGAACAUAGACAAACAAAUGGGUUAACUUAGUGAAGUGUUCAAGAGCCUACUCUAGCUCCUCUAGGAGAUCAAAUGGUUAGAAGCCACCGAUCAAGCUCCUGUACGUGAUAACGUUCGGCUGGACGCCAUUGCCAACCAUCUCCUCCAGCAGCUUGUAAGCCACCGUCGGCUUCCCAGCUCUGCAGAACGCGUCAAUGAGAGCGGUGUAAGUCACCACGUUGGGCUGGCAUCCCCGCUUGGCCAUUCGCUUGAGAACUCUGCGCACCUCCACCAAUCUUCUGACUUUGCAGAAACCGUCGACCAGGCUUGUGUAGGUAUACACGUCCGGAGAGCAGUCACUGGCAACCAUCUCUUCCAGAAGCCUCUUGGCGUCAUCCACCAGUCCAGCAUUACAGUAUCCUUCCACUAGUGUCGAGAAAGUGACGAUGUCGGGGAGGACUGCCUGCUUGUAUGUGAUAACAUCUGGGUUGCAAAACUUGGCCUUCAUUUCUCCAAACAGCCUGUUCGCUUCUGGCACCCUUCCCAGCCUUGCAAAGUCCGUCAAUAAGUGUGUUGUAGGUGAUGAUAUCCGGAAGGCACCCUGUUGCUGUCAUCUCUUCCAUCAGCAAAAGUGUGGAGUCUACCCUGUUGGCCAUGCAAAAGCCAUGGAUCAAGCUGUUGUAAGUCACCACGUUUGGCUCAAUGCCCCAGACUAUCACUCUCAUGAUAAUCUGUGGAAGAUGAAGCUAGGGCUGUGUUGUUUGCAAGUGGUUGUCCUUGGACUCACUGUGGUCACUAGAGCCAAAGUUCUAGAUGGAGUUUUAACACCUCACAAUGUUGUGUAUAUUAACUUUGCAUUCCUCACACCACCAGUGAUACCACUAAUUUUCAAUUUAUAUCCUAAAAGAUUAUAGCUCUUCCACAAGCUUCUUUUGUUAUUGGGUUUACUGCUACUCAAUGCUCCUUAAGCUCAUUGAGUGCUACACUAUGGGCAUCUUGUCCUUAACGACAUGUGCUAGCUUGGCAAUAGCACAUAUUUGAGCUUGGAAGCUUGGCAAGAGUGGAUAUUGUGAUGCAUGCCAAGCUCAAAGAGUAUGUCCUUUAUCACCUUUAAUGCAUGGCCAAAUGUUAUUUUGCAAGCUUCAUAUUGGCACUUGAGGACUUUACAUUGUAUUUCAAGUUUGAGUCCUUGGAUGAAUGCUAACACCAUGGGCUUCUCAUUUGCUAUCAACCUUUAUAACAAGCAUGCACACCAAUGCUUCUUAAAUUGGAUAGUGUAGUUAUUGAUACCCUUUUGUAGCAUUUCCCAAAAUUAAAACAGUUUAUGUAGAGUUGUGUUGUGAAUGUGAUUUCGGGUAUUGAAAAAUACUUGUUAGCUAGUCCUUAUGGGCACUCUUUCCUUACUGCCAUGACACCAGGAGGUCGGUACUACUGGUCCCUUUUAUGGUCUCCACCCAAGCUAGUUGAGAAACUGAUCAUCGCGUGUGCACUUGACCAGAUGAGCAUAAGGACGGAAUUCUUACAUGCUAUUUGUCAAGCAUACUUGACUUAGUUAGAGAAACUCAUUUGUUGACUUGCACUUGUUAGUGUUGGAAACCCCCGCGAUAUUGAGACUAGUCCCUCAAUAUUCGCUAAAUGAUAGAUUACCGUGUUUGCCAAACACCCUCGCUAUCAUGCCCUUUGUGUUAGUCUCAUUUUGGUCCCAAGUGCUAUUUAUGGAAAGUGUUUAGAUUAGCUCAUUUGGUAUAUCUACGGAAUGUAGAGAUCGGCCUGAACACAAUGGUGUUCGUCCCGUGUCCAAAUUCGCAAUCUAUCACCAUUCCAUAUUUAGUAAGUUUUGGACUUGUCCCAGAGACUAACUUCUGGUACUAAGAGAGGCUGGGGGNNNNNNNNNNNNNNNNNNNNNNNNNNNNNNNNNNNNNNNNNNNNNNNNNNNNNNNNNNNNNNNNNNNNNNNNNNNNNNNNNNNNNNNNNNNNNNNNNNNNAUGUAUAGUAGGGAUAGUGGUUGGAAUGCAUGUCUGACCACCUGAGACAUUAGUUUGGCUCCCACUGGGUUGUGUCACUCCUUGUUCUGCAUUCGGCUUGGGUCUAAGCCCAAGCUCCACGCUGUUCUAGUUGGUGGGGUAUCUUCCUCUUCGCGUUAGGCCACCGGUAUGCCAAAAUUGUGUCAGACUCCGUCUGACACCAUUUUGCAUGUAGGUGCUGGAUACGAGGAGAUGGUGCUUGUGGGAUUGUACUGAACCCUCGCUUCGUAGCGCAACAGGCUUGGAGUUUGGCUCCAAAUUCAGGUGCACUACAUUUGGUAUCAGAGGAAUUGUCUCAGUGAUUCCUAUCCAACUUUUGUUAGGUUUUCUGACUCAAGUUGCAUAUAUAGAGACUUUUCUAGUAGAUCAAAAACAACCUGUGUAGGAUUAGUUGGAUAGCACCAUUCGGUAAGAACAUUGUAAGCAUGUUCAGUUACUGAUACAGGCAUGCAUGCAACUAGCAAGAUGGUGAAGAGGAACCGUGCUGAUGACACUGAAAUCUCUAGACGGGCGAAUUGAGAGGAGGAAACUCCUACUAGAGAUGCUGCAAAAGAGGUUGAGGUUGAGUCAGAAGAGGAAGAGUCAGAUGCUACAGCAUUGCAGCGUAUGAGGCAGCUAAACCAGCUAAGCCUAAGCAACCAGACUCCUCUUCGAGUUUUGAGGACGAUGAAGUUUUGCAGCCGCUCCCUGUUGCACGAGUUUCAAAGUUCAAGCCUCCAAAACCACCCAAUUUCAGAGGCAUGCGGGACUAUCAAGUUUUGGAAGACUAGGUCUACGAUAUGGAAAACUAUUUCAUAGUGGCAAACGUAGAUGAUUGUAUGAAAGUUGCAUGCGCGCAAUCCUUUCUCACCGAUCAUGCCAAAACUUGGUGGCGCCAGGUGUGUGCUGAAAAAGGGCAGACUAGAAGUUGGACCAAGAUGCGGUCUCGCAUCCAUAAGGAAUACCUACCGGAUGAUCUUGGUCUGAGACUUUGUGCGGAGCUGCGGCGGUUAAAGCAGCGAGGGGAUCUCAUGCAUUACGUUAAUGCGUUUGCUCAGAAGCACAUUAUAAUUGCAAAUAUGAGUGACGAAGAUGCUCAGAGUUAUUUUCUGGAGGGUUUAAGUUCAUUUUCUCGCAAUGAGAUUUUGAAGUUUAAGCCGAAGACGUACCUAGAGUGUAAGGAGGCAACACAGCAAGUUGCCUUUAGUCACUCGCUCAUGGAAUAAUAUCAGCAACCGUAUGCUGGUAACUCGGAUAAGAAUAAGAAUUUUAGGAAUAAACAAGGUGAUCGGAAAUAGAGGGUGGAAGGUAGGUUCCGCUCUGGAGGCUCACAAGCAACGGUUAACAAAGGUGGUGGUGGUUGGAGACCACCAGCAACUUCUUCUGGUCCUAGGCCCUCUGUUCUUCCUCCUGGUGGAUACAAGCAAUAGCAACCUACAAAACUUGCUCCUAGUGGAAUGGGUAGUGUGGGUCAUUUCUUCCAUUGUGGAGAGUCGGGACAUAGGUCCUCGGAAUGUCCCAACAAGCAUAAGACAAGAUCUCGUAUUAAUGUCAUGAGGGAAGAUGGUGGAGGUGAAGCUGAAGGAGUUGACGAGUUGGUCAAUGCAGACUAUGAGGAAGAAGAGGUGAGUAACUUUCGUUGCUUUCCUCAAGCUUUUCUUGCAGUCAAUGCAAACACUAAUCCGUUGAUGUAUAUGGUAAGCUUUGUCCAUGGACACUGAAUCUGAGUGAUGAUUGACAUGGGAGCUACGCACAACGUGAUAUCUGAAGACUUAGUUAAGUUGUUAGGAUUGAAUGCUGAGAAAAUGUCGCCUAUGCACUUCCGGUUUGCAGAAGGUGGGCAAGUAGCCAGAAAGUUUGUGAGUGAUGUUCCAAUAAAGAUAUCCAAGUGAAAAGAAAGAGUGGACUUGGUAGUGUUGUAAAUACCAGAUUUUUAGAUGGUGUAUGGUAUGGAUUUCUUCAACAAGUAUAUAAAAGGGAUUUAUGGUGCUGGACAAAGUCGUAUCACGUUGAAGUCCGAAGGACGUCUUAAUGUGUCCUUCCAGUUGCAAAGGCAUUCCUCAAAGGAUUGGGAUGCUAAGUUCCUAACUGCGAGGGCCACUCAAAAAAUAGCUAAGAGGGGAUGUCGGACCUUUUGGGUUCAAGUGAUGGAAGCUGAGAGUGUUAGUGACUCAAUUCGAAUCGGUGAUGGGGUUGAUCUUGUACCACAGAAGAUAUUGGAGUUGUUGGCGCGGAAUCAAGAUAUUUUCCCGAAGGAUUUGCCACCAGAGCUACCUCCUAGCCGUGAGGUUGAUCAUCGAAUUGAGGUUAUUUCGGGUUCUAAACCACUUACGAAAACUCCGUAUCGAUUGAACAUCAAGGAGAUGGCUGAACUCAAGAAGCAACUCACAGAGCUUCUUGACAAAGGUUAUAUCCGACCAAGCAAAUCACCUUAUGGAGCGCUGAUCCUUUUUGUUAUGAAAAAGGAUGGAACCAUGAGGAUGUGUAUUGACUAUCAGGCAUUCAACAAGAUCACGGUUAAAAACAGUUAUCCUUUGCCUCGCAUUGAUGACUUGUUUGACCAACUCUUAAAGGCUAAGUAUUUUACGCAACUUGAUUUGCAGUCCAGGUAUCAUCAGAUACGGGUGGCGGAUCAAGAUGUGGAGAAGACAGCCUUUAAGACUCGGUAUGGAUCUUAUAAGUUCCUUGUCAUGCCAUUCGGGUUAUGCAAUGCUCCGGCAACGUUCAGCACUAUGAUGGAUAGAAUAUUUGGAGAUUAUUUAGACACAUUUGUUGUCUUAUAUAUCGACGAUGGUCUACUCUUCAACAAAACGUUGGAAGAUCAUUUGAAACACUUGGAGCUGGUGUUUCAGAAGUUGCGCAAACACAAACUGUAUGCUAAGGAAAGUAAAUGCGCUUUUGAACAAUUGCGCGUAAACUUUCUCGGAUAUAUAGUUGGUGGUGGCAUAAUUGAGGUUGAUCCAAAGAAGGUGGAAGCCGUGAAGUCCUGGGAAGUCCCGACCACUGUAUCAGAUGUUCGUUCCUUUCUCGGUUUGGCGGGAUACUAUCGUAAGUUUGUCCGCAAUUUUGCAAGAAUUGCUCUUCCGUUGACUGAGUUGACGAAGAGUAGUAUUCCGUUUCAUUGGACACCGGCUUCUCAGCGUGCUUUUGUACGGUUGAAGGAGAUCUUGACUACGGUUCCUGUUCUUAGGAUCCUAGAGCUUGAUAAACCAUUCGAAGUGCAUUGUGAUGCAUUUGGCUAUGCUAUUGGUGCCGUGUUGCAGCAAGAUUGUGACAAAGCGGUUGGUGUUACGGUAAGGUGACAUGGUUGUCCCGUUGCGUUCUAUUCCAAGAAAUUGGAUGAAACUCAACGAAGAUGGCUAACGCAUGAAAAAGAGAUGUUUGCUAUAGUGUCGACCCUGGAACACUGGAGACACUACUUGGGUGGACACACCAAGGUUUAUACAGAUAGUAACACACUAAGCUACUUUGCUACGUAGCCUAAGCUUAUGCCGAAGCAGGCUCAUUGGCAAGAGAAGCUUGCUAGAUAUGAUAUUGAAAUUAUAUAUAAACCUAGUAAAGAUAAUAUUGUUUCGGAUGCAUUGAGUCGUGAGGCUCAGUUCCGGGCAAUAUCAACAAUCAGUUCGGACUGGUUAGAGGAUGUUCGGGCUUCAUAUGGAAGUGAUCCAUUGGUGAAGGCAAUCUUAAGUCGUGCGGGGUUGUUGAAGCAGAGCCCUGGUAGCAAAGCAGCGAAAGUUGUUAGUCGCACUAAUGUGACGCUUCACUUCUCAGUUCAGGAUGGGCUUAUAUUCUAUAAGCAAGAAAGAUUGUAUCUUCCCUCUAAGGAUCUACAGCAGUUGUUUCUGCGAGAACAUCAUGAUGUUCCAACAGUGGGACAUGAUAGAAAGCAAAAGACUCUAGCUUCAUUGAAAAAAGGGAUUUUUCUAGUCUGAUAUGGAAGGUGAUGUAGCGGAUUAUGCCCUAUAUGCCAGCAAUGUAAGCGCAAAACUAAGAAGCAGGCUGGAAAGUUGUAGUGCAUUCCAGCACCGGCAUGGCCAUUUCAGAGUGUGACACUUGAUUUCAUCACUUGCUUGCCGAAGUCUAAGGGUUAUGAUACUUUGAUGGUGGUUGUGGAUCGGUUGUCAAAGAUUGCACACUUCAUUCCAACUGUAGGAAUAGUAAAUGCGAAACAAGCAGCAAAGCUCUUUUUCCAUGAAGUAGUGCGGGUUCGUGGUCUCCCUAAAGAGAUGAUCUCGGAUAGAGAUUCGAGAUUUAUGGGGAAGUUUUGGGGCACACUGUUCCAAUUAUUCAAUACCAAGUUGAAGUUUAGUAUGGUUUAUCAUCCUCAGACUGAUGGGCAGACCAAACGUGUGAAUGCUCAAGUUAAGGAUUAUCUGCGGUACUAUGUCGCGGCAGACCAACGUGACUGGGUUGAGCAUUUGGACACAGCAGAAAUCUGUUAUAACAACACAUUUCACAGCGCUAUUGGCUAUUCUCCAUGGGAGAUGCUGCAAGGGAAUGCUCGUGGGGUCCCUCAACAGAUUGUUGUACCGAAACCAAUGUCCGAAGUGUUGGUCCUAGCUGUUGAGACUUAUGUGGAGUAGCUACGCCACAAUUAGUCUAGAGCUACUGAGGCGAUAGGCAAAACUCAGGAUAGGUAUCGACGUGAUAAGGAUUAGCAUCGUCGGGAUGUAUCUUAUCAAGUGGGAGAUCAGGUGUGGCUAUCUUCCCGGAACUUGAAUAUUAAGGGUUCUUUGUCUCGGAAGCUCUUGCCGAGAUAUGUUGGACCCUAUCGGGUGCUAAAACGCAUUAGUGAUGUAUCAUAUUGGUUGGAUCUACCUGCGGAGAUGUCCAAUGUUCAUAAUGUAUUUCAUGCCAAUUUAUUGGCUCCUUACACUAUGGAUGUUGAGUGUCACGUGGAAAUUCGUCCACCGCCAGAAGUUGUGGAUGGUGAACCUAAAUACGAAGUUGAAAGCAUUCUGUCAUGUCGCCGGAAACGUGGUGGUCGUGCGAAGGAAUAUCUAGUUAAGUGGAAAGGUUACCCGCCUUGUGAAUCAACUUGGGAACCUCUUAGUAAUCUUACCCAUGCUCGUGAGCUUGUCACGGAGUAUGAGAAUAGUAAUAAAAACUAAUUUUUGUAAAAAUCUUGUAAUAAAUCUUGCAAAUCAAUAAAGUAAUAUAUUUCUAUCAAUCAAAGUGUCGUUUCUCUUGUUCGUUCAUACUUGGGUCAGUUUUGGCAGGUUGACUUCGGCAUUUCGGUGCAUGGGUCCAAUCCAUAACCAUGGGGAUAACUAUUAUAGAUUGAUCACAAGUCCCCGCCUCUCUCGAUAACUCACUUUUGAAAAGGGGCGUGGUCGUGUAAACAAUUUAAUCUGCCAGUUUAUAAUAGUUGUCUAAAUCUUCCCAACAGGGUUGAUUUCUUGCUCAGUGUGAAGUUGGGCCUCUAGCCUUCUCCCUAUGUCCCUGUGGGCAGGGAUGUAUCAUUCCUUUGUAAGCCGAGUGGUACUUGGAGUAGCAAGGGUGGCUAACUCUGUUAGUCAUUUCUUUGUCGGUGACGGCCGGAGGGUGUCUGAGUCUUAGUGUCUUUGGAUAUAGAGGAGAGGUCGUUCUAUAACUCAUUUAAGUUGGUGUGUUUCCCAUAUAGUGUGCUUUCCGUUUACUUUCGGAGUUGUUUCCUUGAUGGUUUGCAAGACUCGGGUCUGCAUUGACGAAGACGUCGAUCUUCCCAAAGGGGGGGAGAGUGUCGCGAAUAUGACUUCGGGUAUCGAAAGAUACUUGUCGGCCAGUCUUUACGGGCACUCUUUCCUUACUACCACGACGGCAAGAGGUCAGUACUACUGGUCCCUUUUAUGGUCUCCACCCAAGCUAGUUGAGAAACUGGUCAUCGCGUGUGCACUUGACCAGAUGAGCAUAAGGACGGAAUUCCUACAUACUAUUUGUCAAGCAUACUUGACUUAGUUAGAGAAACUCAUUCAUUGACUUGCACUUGCUAGUGUUGGGAACCCCCGCAAUAUUGAGACUAGUCCCUCAAUAUUCGCUAGAUGAUAGAUUAUUGUGUUUGCCAAACACCCUCGCUAUCAUGCCCUUUGUGUUAGUUUCAUUUCGGUCCCAAGUGCUAUUUAUGGAAAGUGUUUAGAUUAGCUCAUUUAGUAUAUCUACGGAAUGUAGAGAUCGGCCUGAACACAAUGGUGUUCAUCCCGUGUCCAAAUUCACAAUCUAUCACCAUUCCAUAUUUAGUAAGUUUUGGACUUGUCCCAGAGACUAACUUCUGGUACUAAGAGAGGCUUGGGGUGAAAGCCCAAAGCGUGUGUCCCUCAACAGGGGGGCUGUGGGGGGUUCCAAAUGUAUAGUAGGGAUAGUGGUUGGAAUGCAUGUCUGACCACCUGAGACAUUAAUUUGGUUCCCACUGGGCUGUGUUGCUCCUUGUUCUACGUCCGGCUUGGGUCUAAGCCCAAGCUCCACACUGCUCUAGUCGGUGGGGUAUCCUCCUCCUCGCGUUAGGCCACCGGUAUGCCAAAAUUGUGUCAGACUCCGUCUGACACCAUUUUGCAUGUAGGUGCUGGAUACGGGGAGCUGGUGCUCGUGAGAUUGUACUGGACCCUCAUUUCGUAGUGCAACAGGCUUGGAGUUCAGCUCCAAAUUCAGGUGCGCUACAAGUUAUUAGUCAAUUUUCUCAAUUCCAAAUCAUUUGAAGAACUUAUCAAUCAUUGUAGAAAAUGACUAUCAUUCAUUUGGAAGCAAGAAAGAUGCCCAAUCUGCUACUCUUGUUUUCAAGGAUCUCAGGAAUAAUUUUUGGGACAAAGCAUCUUUAGUGAUCUUGUUGUAUCGUAAGUAAGUUUGAAAUUGAUCAAUGUUAUUAUGAGCCAAAAUACUUGAUCUAAGAUAGAACUUUAAGAGGUCCAUUGCCCUAUAAAGAAUAUAAAUAGUUGCCACUAUUGGUGUAAUGUUUUGAUUGUUCUCUUCUUUGAAAUCUAUUCUAGACGAUGAAGACUUACUUACUGAGAACACCAUUUAGUAAUUAAGCUGACAUAUAAGCCUUAAAAAUUCCUCUAAGUUAUAUGUGUGUAAAGAGGAGUUUAUAUAACAAUAACACUUGACCAACAGGUAUGAAUAAGCAUCAAACUUCUAAAAUGUGCCAAAUGCCAAAAUUAGGUACUUGCUUUGAUGCUGGUCUAGAGUUUGGAGAGCUCAAUUACAAAUUUUUAUGUUUGCUAGACACUCAAGGAUUUUAAAAUCAUUCUUUAUAACACUUAUAACCUCUUAUACACUCACUAUAUACUAAAUGUUGUUUUCCAUUCAAGUAAAAGCUUCUCAAUCAAAAGAGAUGAUUAAAAUAAGGCAUGAAAUAGCUAUAUAUACUCUAAGGCACUAAAAUAAACCAUAACAUAAUGCAAGGGAUAAGUAUAUAAGGAAAAGUUUUUAAACUUUAAACACACCAAAUGUUUUAAGGGAUGAAGCCUAAAGCUAAAAAGAAAAGACACUUAAACUUUUUGCAUACUACUCUAAAAAUCAUGAAACCAAACUUUAAAAACAUGUAUAACAGUUUUGUAUGAAAGAUAAACCUAAAAAUUUCACUUAAAUAUACUUAAAACACUCACUAAAAUUAGCAAACACAUAACCGGAUGAGAAAAUAUAAAGAUCUUACAGUUCUAAAAUCUUAUUCUAGGGCUCGCCAAAAAGCUUUAUCCAAGAUUUAUUUAGCCAUGUAAGAAAGAUCCAUCUAUAUUACUCAAAAUUGUGUGAGAAUGCCCUAAACUUUUUUUACACUCUAAAUAAAAGAACCCAAGUAAAAAGCUUUAUAAAUUACUUGAUAAAACUCACAGUUGAAGAUCUAUUGUAUAUCAAACUCUUGAAAUGAGUAUUACACAUAUCAUGAAUAAAAAUUAUUUGCAUGUUAUGCUCUAAGAAUGGAAUUGAGAAAUUUGUGAUAUUAAAAUAAAGUGCUCAACAAGAUUUAAAAACCCAUUAGCUCCAUUGCUUAAUUUAAUCAGCAACUAAGGGGCAAAGAGGAGAAAAUAACUAUUCUUAGUUUAAAAAAGAAGAAAAUUCAAGAAAUCCUUAGAAUUUAAACAUGGUACCUAGAAUCUUACAGUUGGGCACACUUAUUCUUACUCCAUCACCACAAUGCAAAUCUUUUGAGAAUUUGCCCUAAAAUUAAAAAAAAAAUGAGAUUAAAUCUUGAAUCUUGGACUCGGUCUUGAACUCAAUUUCAAAUUUGGUCUCGAACUUGAUUUCGAUCUCGGACUUAAUUUCAUCCGAUGAACUAUUUAUCAUUCCAAUCAUGAUUUUAAAGAUCCUUUAAUUUAUAGGGAGUUAAUUCCUUAUACAUUCUUCUUCCUUUCCAUAGUGAAUGACUUUUAGAUGACAUUUCAAAACACUAAAACUAAGUGUGAAUAUUAUGGGUAUUCUCCCCACCUCCAAUUACAUGGCUAGAUUGAGGUUUUGAUAAACCAUAUAAAGUAUUUAAGCAGAUAGUGCAACCCAUAAGAGUAUUGAAUUUAAUCUCUCAAAGGAAUUAUAGCUAACUUUUAAAUAUUUCACCAAAUUACUCUACUUAUCCAUCAAUGUUUACUCUAGCUUUAGACUCUUUAAUAUUUUAAUUAUCACCCAUUAUAUAAGUAUAAUAUUCCUUAGUCAUAUUAGUUUUUCUAGAGUAAUCCCUAGAAAUUUACUAAACCCAGCUCGGCAAAGCCAUGGAAGUUUUGGAAGAGAUGACACUCUCAAGGAAAGGCAGGCCAAAUGUCGAGGCUUACAAGGCGGUAGCGAGAGAAGGGAGGCAUGAAGAGGCAAACGUGCUCGCGGACGAAUUACUUGGUAACAAAGGCCAGUAAAAAGAGAUUUGUAAUCACAUAUCCUGAAUAUUGUGUGAAUACUAUAGAUGUUCUCCUGGGAUGUUUCCUAAGGCUUUCACAGAAAUAGAGUUUAGUUUCAAUUUGCUUCUAAUUUUAUAUAUAAGGCCCUCUUUCAGAGUUCACUUAGGACUCUUCUUUCAUGGCUGUUUCAUCCAUUGCGAGCAUUUUCGCAGCAGAGAAAAGCUAUUCCAUUCCACCAGUGUGUCAACUCCUUGUCUCUCCAGUGCUGAAUCCUCUGUACGAUGCAAAGGCCGAGUCUCAGAUCGAUGCGUGGUGCGCGGAGUUUCUGAAGUUGCAACCUGGAAGCGAGAAAGCUGUGUUUGUUCAAGAAAGCAGGCUUGGAUUGCUCGCGGCUUAUGUUUACCCGACCAUUCCAUACGAGAAGAUUGUUCCGGUUGGAAAGUUCUUCGCUUCGUUCUUUCUUGCAGAUGACAUUCUGGAUAGCCCGGAGAUCUCCUCGUCGGACAUGAGGAAUGUGGCAAUCGCAUACAAGAUGGUUUUAAAGGGAAGAUAUGACGAGGCCACGCUUCCAGUGAAAAAUCCGGAGCUGCUGAGGCAAAUGAAGAUGUUAUCUGAGGUCUUGGAAGAAUUGUCCCUCCAUGUAGUGGAUGAAUCAGGCCGAUUCGUGGAUGCUAUGACCAGGGUGCUCGACAUGUUUGAGAUUGAAUCGAGCUGGCUUCGCAAGCAAAUCAUUCCCAACCUGGAUACGUACCUCUGGCUGAGAGAGAUCACAUCUGGUGUGGCUCCUUGCUUUGCUCUGAUUGAUGGUUUACUGCAACUUAGGCUGGAGGAGCGUGGCGUGCUGGAUCAUCCUCUCAUACGCAAGGUUGAGGAGAUUGGGACGCACCACAUUGCGCUCCACAAUGACUUGAUGUCGCUAAGGAAGGAGUGGGCGAGUGGAAACUACCUCAACGCCGUGCCCAUUCUCGCCAGCAAUCGUAAGUGUGGCUUGAACGAGGCAAUCGGCAAGGUUGCGAGCAUGGUGGAGGAUUUGGAGAAGGAUUUCGCCCAGACAAAGCAUGAGA